CACGUAGGGGGCGAGCGUUGUCCGGAAUUACUGGGCGUAAAGGGCGUCUAGGCGGCCAGAUGCGUCGAGCGUGAAAUACCCGGGCUCAACCCGGGGGGUGCGUUCGAAACGGUCUGGCUUGAGGGCCGGAGAGGGAAGCGGAAUUGCCGGUGUAGCGGUGAAAUGCGUAGAGAUCGGCAGGAACACCAGUGGCGAAGGCGGCUUCCUGGCCCAAAACUGACGCUGAGGUGCGAAAGCGUGGGGAGCGAACAGG
rnacentral:rRNA from 1 species